UGAGUACGCCUAACGCGACGUGCGGCCCGGAGCCGUCUGUCGGGGGCAGCUGUGGCUGCCUUCGUUGCGUGAGUGGCGUCCGCGCCCGCCUUCUCAACCCCGCUGUCUCGUCUUCACCCGGGCUUCGGCAGCCCGGCGUCGGCGGUCAUGCUGCCUGCGGCGCGCCCUGCGCGGCCCCGCUGAGCCUGGAGCGGCGGCGAGCGCGGCUUGGGGUCACCAUGCCUACCCGAGUAUGUUGCUGCUGUUCAGCUUUACGUCCUCGCUACAAACGCCUGGUGGACAACAUAUUCCCUGAGGAUCCAAAAGAUGGCCUUGUUAAAGCUGAUAUGGAAAAAUUGACAUUUUAUGCAGUAUCUGCUCCAGAGAAGCUGGACCGAAUAGGUUCGUACUUGGCAGAAAGACUGAGCAGAGAUGUUGUCAGACAUCGUUCUGGGUAUGUCCUAAUUGCGAUGGAGGCACUGGACCAGCUUCUUAUGGCCUGCCAUUCUCAGAGCAUCAAGCCAUUUGUGGAAAGCUUUCUUCAUAUGGUGGCAAAGCUGCUGGAAUCAGGGGAACCAAAGCUUCAAGUUCUUGGAACAAAUUCUUUUGUCAAAUUUGCAAAUAUUGAAGAAGAUACACCAUCCUAUCACAGACGUUAUGACUUUUUUGUAUCUCGAUUCAGUGCCAUGUGUCAUUCCUGUCAUAGUGAUCCAGAAACACGAACAGAAAUACGAAUUGCUGGGAUAAGAGGUAUUCAGGGUGUGGUUCGCAAAACAGUUAAUGAUGAACUUCGAGCUACCAUUUGGGAACCCCAGCAUAUGGAUAAGAUUGUUCCAUCCCUUCUGUUCAACAUGCAAAAGAUAGAGGAUGUUGACAGUCGCAUCGGCCCUCCUCCUUCUCCUUCUACAACUGACAAAGAAGAGAAUCCCUCUGUGCUGGCUGAAAACUGUUUCAGAGAACUGCUGGGGCGAGCUACCUUUGGGAAUAUGAAUAAUGCUGUCAGACCAGUUUUUGCGCAUUUAGAUCAUCACAAACUAUGGGAUCCUAAUGAAUUUGCAGUUCACUGCUUUAAAAUUAUAAUGUAUUCUAUUCAGGCUCAGUAUUCUCACCAUGUGAUCCAGGAGAUUCUGGGACACCUCGAUGCUUGUAAGAAAGAUUCUCCCCGGGUUCGAGCAGGCAUCAUUCAGGUGUUGUUAGAGGCUGUCGCCAUUGCUGCUAAAGGCUCCAUCGGGCCCACUGUGCUGGAGGUCUUCAAUACCUUACUGAAACAUUUGCGUCUCAGUGUUGAAUUUGAAGCAAAUGACUUGCAUGGGGAAUCUGUAAGCAGUGUCAGCGUAAACACGGGUGCCAGAGAUGAUGAGAAGAUUGUGCAGAAUGCGAUCAUCCAAACAAUAGGGUUUUUUGGAAGCAACCUACCAGAUUAUCAGAGGUCAGAGAUCAUGAUGUUCAUUAUGGGGAAAGUACCUGUUUUUGGAACAUCUACGCAUACUUUGGAUAUCAGUCAACUAGGGGAUUUGGGAACCAGGCGGAUUCAGAUAAUGUUGCUGAGAUCUUUGCUUAUGGUCACCUCUGGAUAUAAAGCCAAGACUAUUGUUACUGCGCUGCCAGGGUCUUUUCUGGAUCCUUUGUUGUCACCAUCUCUCAUGGAAGAUUAUGAACUGCGGCAGUUAGUCUUAGAAGUGAUGCACAACCUCAUGGAUCGCCAUGACAACAGGGCAAAGCUCCGUGGGAUCAGAAUAAUACCAGAUGUGGCAGACCUAAAGAUAAAAAGAGAAAAAAUUUGUAGGCAAGACACAAGUUUCAUGAAAAAGAAUGGGCAGCAGCUAUAUCGGCACAUAUAUUUGGGUUGUAAAGAGGAAGACAAUGUUCAGAAAAACUAUGAGCUACUUUAUACUUCUCUUGCUCUUAUAACUAUUGAACUGGCCAAUGAAGAAGUGGUUAUUGAUCUCAUUCGAUUGGCCAUUGCUUUACAGGACAGUGCAGUUAUCAACGAGGAUAAUUUGCCCAUGUUCCAUCGUUGUGGAAUUAUGGCACUGGUUGCAGCAUAUCUCAACUUUGUAAGUCAGAUGAUAGCUGUUCCCGCAUUUUGCCAGCAUGUUAGCAAGGUUAUUGAAAUUCGAACUAUGGAAGCUCCCUAUUUUCUACCAGAACAUAUUUUCAGAGAUAAGUGCAUGCUUCCAAAAUCUUUAGAGAAGCAUGAUAAAAAUUUAUAUUUUCUGACCAACAAGAUUGCAGAAUCACUCGGUGGAAGUGGAUAUGGUAUUGAGAGAUUAUCGGUACCAUAUGUACCACAAGUAACAGAUGAAGAUCGCCUUUCUAGGAGGAAAAGUAUUGUGGACACUGUAUCAAUUCAGGUGGAUAUUUUACCCAACAACGUUUCUUCUGAUGAUGUGGUUAGUAACACUGAAGAAAUCACCUUUGAAGCGUUGAAGAAAGCAAUUGAUACCAAUGUAAUGGAAGAACAAGAAAAGGAAAAGAGACGUCUUGUAAUAGAGAAAUUCCAGAAAGCACCUUUUGAAGAAAUAGCAGCACAGUGUGAAUCUAAAGCAAAUUUGCUUCAUGAUAGACUUGCUCAAAUAUUAGAACUCACUAUACGUCAGCAGCAGAAUAACAGGGAAGCUUGGACAGAAGAAAAGGUACCAGACAAUUACCUUGGACAUCAGGAAAGUCAGCAGCUUAGUAAGAAAGUUUGAGCCUCCACUGAGGUUUUGUGGUCAUGAACAUCGAGUGAAAUGAGUCUGCUCAGCUGCAUCUUUCCCUCAGCCAAACUUCCUUCCUCAGAUUGCAUAUGGAGGAGUAGCAUGGUGGAGAUGCUGGACACAGAGGCACUUUCUACAAACAGAGUCCCCUGUGUCUGCAGUUUUCACUUGAAGUUAAAAGUUUGUUACUUUCACUGUGAAUGGCCGUCAUGUUUUCUGUUUCUAUCACAUAGACUUUCUAUGCCCCCUCCACUGGCCUCCACAUAGACCCCAGAUAUGUUGGUUACAUUUCAGCAGCAGGAAACAGGAGGAGGAAAGGAGGGUACUGCUGGGGUCAGACAGAGUGAGACAUACUAAGGCCUGGGCUCCCAAGUGACCGUCCUCCCUGUACCUAAGAUGGUGACAGCACACGCUGGGCACUGAGGAAGGAGCUUCAGUUCCCAUCAUCUAGACCCAAGGUCCAGGGCUCACAGCUCACACAGGCCCUGGACUUAGAUGCUCUGUAGAAGCUUAACUGCUUUGCAGGCUUCCCAGACCCUGAGCUCCUGGAGGAGCAGCUAAGGAGCCUCCAACUUUGAGGUGUAACCUGAAUCUCCUCUCCCCCAUAGGAAAAACUGUUUCUUUUGCUCAUGGGUCUUCAGAGCUUAUGAUCUGAUGUCUGUUUCCCCCAGCCUCACCCUACACCACAACCAGGCCUCUAUCCCUCCUUUCAGCCCCUGCAAUACAGACCCAGUGCUAUUCCUAAAUGGGAUGCCUAGCAUUCCCAAGACAUGGCAUCUCUCCUUCCUCUUGGCUUAGACUUCUCCUUUACUUUUCAACUCCUGUCAAAUCUCACCACCCUGCUGAUUGGGCAGUGCAUACUUCCGGGAGCACAUUGCUACUUCCGGUCCCUCCCUCAGGCUGUGAGCGCUUCGAACCAGGUUUGUGCAGGUUCGCUAUUUUCCUAAUCACCAAUGAGGGUCUGUUGGGAAGUGGAAUGCUGGAUGGAUGAGUGAAUGACAUGUAAGAACACACCUCCCAGGGUGUGUUGGCCGUAAAUGACAGCACAGAGCUAGAGAGAGAGAGCAGAGGCCGGAGGAGGAGACAAACAUGAAGAGGAGAACAAGCCUUUCUAGAGCUCCUGUGAGAUUCCAAGGGAAGCUUCUUCUUUUAAGUUGCAGAGUGUGAAGGAAGUGCACCUGCUGUCGAGUUCAAAAAGCAAGUGCAGCUGAGUGUGGCCAACUCUAAAGUGAGCUCUUAUGUGUUCACUACGGCGAGAUAAUUUUCAGACUGUCCCCAAUGGAGGCCUUGAGUGCUGUAGGAGACCCUGGUUUCCACCCUAGGGAAGCACGUAGCUGAGGGCCACCUCUCCCCUUAACCAGACCUGCCCCCCUUUUAAUGGGGUUCCCUAGAAGUCCUCACUUGGGAAAGGGGUCUACUUCUCAGGAACAGACAAGGGGAAGAUGAAGAGUCGCUGGAGAUCUGAGCAGGUUUCACGAUCCAGAUCCCAGCUCUUCCUUCUGCCUGUCACCUGCAGCCUCUGUGAAAUGGGAGGAGCACCAGUGCUGCCUCCCAUGGGGUUGCAGAUUGCUCCAGGGGCUUUAACCAGCUUGGUGACUUAAAGCAACUGGCUCAGGCUUUGCCACUGGAGCCAGGUUGUGGAACUGGUGUCAGGGUGUGUGUCUCAGUGUUGGGAAAAGUGAGGGUCAUGUCACAGAGUGCUGGGGAGGCAUUCAGAAGCUGAGCUCUGGCCAGAUGCCCACUUGUAGGAGGACACAACUGACUGCCCAGCCAACCAUACUUACACUUGGGUGUUCGGUCCACACACAGCACUGUGGACCGAGGACGUCUCUCUGGCAGGCAGCCCAGCCUUCUCACCUGCUCCAGGCAGCAAUGAUGGGACAGACAGCACCUAUGACCAAGAGAACCCUUUACUACCCAGAGCUCCCCACUGACCUGGCCUUCUUUACCCACACUCCUGGAGUAGUGGAAGAAACCAGUGCCUCCCGUCCAGGACCCACAGGACUGACCUAUACACAGCCCAGCCUGAUUGUGUAUGGUGGGUUGGGUUGUGUACUACACAAAGAUGCCAUCUCUAAGAUAGCAUCCAUCACACUAUAUGCAGCUCAUUAGUUACAGUUUUUUCUUGUAUUCUCAUUAUGAUGCUGUUGAUGACAGUGUGGCUGAUUUGCAUAUUUAUCGGUGAAAAAUGGAGUCUUUAAGAAAGGGAUACUUUCAGAAUGGAGUCUUUUUUUUUUUUUUUCCAUCUCAUAGGAAGGCUUCCUGGGAGCUAGCAGUGCCCUGACUCUGUCCAGCCUUUCUCAAAGUAGAAUAGUUGAUCUUACAUCUGUAGGGCACCCGCCCUGAGCCCUCAGUCUUAGACAGCCGUUAGUCUCUGUAAAUAAAGAACUGUAAAAAAUGCUUAGUGUAGCACAGGGCCUCAGUGAAUGUAGGAAGGAAUCGUGUCUUGUUUGUCAAUGCUCCUGCGUGUCCCAAUGCAGCCACCAUCUUCAGAGCCCCACAGCCAGAAGGACAUCCUCAGGACGGCAAGAGACCUCCAGGGAUGACUGCUCCCCAGUCUUCUCUUUCCAACUCUUCCUGGUCCUUGAAUGUCUCUCAACACCCCUGGAGACUUACAACUUUUAGCUUUUUUUUUUUUUUUUUUUUGAUCCUUUCCAGUACUGGAGAUUAAACCCAGAGCCUUUCCCCUGAGCUAUGCUAUUAGCCCUUUUAACUUUUUUGUUUUUUUAAUUUUGAGACAGGGUUUCACUAAGUUGCCUAGGCUGGCUGGAACUUGCAAUCCUACUGCCUCAGCCUCCCAGAGUGCUUGAGCCACUACCCCGUCUGGCCUUUCUUGCAGCUUUUAGCAGCUCUUGUUUGUCUCCAGCCAGGCAUCAGCUAUACUGACCUUGUUGUGUAUAGUUGGAGGAACCACACACUUCGCAUGUUCCCAUAGCCCAUGGCAAAGGUCAGUGCCUGGCUCAUAACAGGCUGCUGCCGUAACAGAAUCAUGGGAUCCUGUUGAGCUUUUGCCAGAUGGAGAUGGGAAGACACUUCACCUAACAGUUACACCCCAAAGUCAGCAAGUCACAGAUAAUGGAUAUUCUCUCAGCAGUCCCUGACGUGGUGUCUGACGUACUCUGUACCUGCAGUUGGGAACACACCCUGCAAGACAUGACACCAGUGUGGCUAACCCUGUCCUCCUAUGGUUUUGGCUUUCUGGUUUCCUCCAGUGGUGGGCAGGAAGCCAUACUGUACCUUCAUUUCCUGGCUGGUCACAUUUCCUAUUUUUGUGAAAUAUGGUCAGUGUUUACCUUCACCAUCAUCCCUGCUUCCUCUCAGAGGCUACUGCUGGCCGGGUUCUUAUGGCCUGAGGAAUCUUGACACUGUCAACAUAAAAUUUGCUAUAACAAAACUUCCUUUACGUUUUUUUAGUAGUAGGGACUAAACCCAAACCCUUCACACCUGAGCUUUAUCCCUAACUGCCUCCCCCCACUUUGUUUUUUAUUUUUACUUUUUUCUUUGAGACAGUGUAAUUAAAUUGAUAGCGUGCCCAGACUGGGCUUUGAACUUGUCAUCUUUCUGCCUCAGCCUCCCAGAGUGCUGGUAUAUGCCACCAGGCCUAGAGUUUAUGCUUCUAUAGGGUCUCCUAGUACAAGUUUCCUGCCCUGGAAGCCCACACAGGUUGAUAAAGGUCAGUCCGACCGUGAACUUGGGGGAAAGCACCAAGGUGGAGUUGGGUGGUGGGUGCAUAACCCAGCAAGCCUGCCUCAGGUGCAGCUUGGCCUACGGCAGCCCACACGCUCCACACUCCUGUACUCCUGCACUCCUGCCUUUACAUCCUUACACUCAGCCUUUCUCAGCUCUGACCCCCACACUGCUCCCGAGGGGCGAACACCCUGCCCUUUGAAUGUAGAUCUUUCCAGCCUAUAAAGUUACCUAUUGUACUUCCUAAAUAUUCCUCAAACUUGAGUGGAGACUCUAUAUCUGUUUCUUCUAUUAUAUUUAUUAUGCUGGGCAAUAUUUUUUAUCAAAUUGUCCAUCUCUUUCUCCAUUUAAAACUUUACAUGGGCCCAAGCAUUCAUUUAUUGUUUAUAUUUUUCUGCAUUGUUUUGUACCUCCAGUACCUAGUGUAGUGUCUGGCACAGAGCAAAACCACAGCAAAUCUAGACUGGAUGCAUUUGCGAAUGAAUAAAUAAGCUAAUAAAUAUA